AGAACGAACGCUGGCGGCAGGCUUAACACAUGCAAGUCGAACGCUCGUAGCAAUACGGGAGUGGCAGACGGGUGAGUAACGCGUGGGAACAUACCCUCCGGUUCGGAAUAGCUCAGGGAAACUUGGAUUAAUACCGGAUACGGCUGAGAGGCGAAAGAUUUAUCGCCGGAGGAUUGGCCCGCGUUCGAUUAGCUUGUUGGUGAGGUAACGGCUCACCAAGGCGAUGAUCGAUAGCUGGUCUGAGAGGAUGAUCAGCCACAUUGGGACUGAGACACGGCCCAAACUCCUACGGGAGGCAGCAGUGGGGAAUAUUGGACAAUGGGCGCAAGCCUGAUCCAGCCAUGCCGCGUGAGUGAUGACGGCCUUAGGGUUGUAAAGCUCUUUCGCUCGGGACGAUAAUGACGGUACCGAGAUAAGAAGCCCCGGCUAACUUCGUGCCAGCACGCCGC
rnacentral:rRNA from 1 species